rnacentral:lncRNA from 1 species
GUCUAUCGACUGCUGAAGCUUGAAGAGAGCAGACAUGAUUUUUGUAACGAUGCAAAGACAGAAAUAAAGGAAUGUAAAUACGUUUCUGUCUAUCUCUCUCCCCUGCCCGGGGGGGGCAGGAAAGAGGGGUGUGUUCUUCUCACGUUGAGGAGGAUCGCCUAUCGCGACCUAGCCUGGAUCCUGCCGGGAAUGCAGACAGGGAGGUCAACAGGAGAUCAAGCCGGGUGCCUGGAGAGUGGCCAGUUUCUCCUGAUAAAGGCUUGAAUCCUAACAUAUGGUAGCAUGGAGCCGAUGGUUUUGAUCCAUGAAAGCAACAAGAGAGGUUGAUGGAUCGUACUUCAUCCUCUGCAAGGAGAUAAAGAAAGAAUGUGGUAGCGGGCGGAUGGAAGCUACAAGGACGGCUGAGCACCGGAGGAGGUGUUUUUUGCUGAGCAACGGAUUCCUCAAGGUAUGGUGAUUUUAUGGCUGUGAGAGUGAACGCGAAUUGAAGCAUUCUUCGGUUCACUGAGUGUCUGCUUUUGGAUGAAACCAGCACUGAUAGAAAUAGCCUGCAUAUUUCGCAUUCCUGAGAUUGAUAAGGUUUGCUGCUCAAGCCUGGAAUGUCCAGUUGCUAAGCAACGAAACGUCAGUAUAGUGGAAAGUUACUGGCCAACAACGGAAGUAAGGCUGGGACUGUGAGAGGCUGGUAAACAGAGUUUGUUUUGUCUAUUAUCUCACUGCUCUUGGAGGGACUUUCAAAACAGCCUGCGUUUAGCUGCCAAGUGAGGCAGUAAACUGCCAAUAGACUUUUGGAGUUUACAGGCUCGAGAGUGAGAGCUGACACUUGGAUUCAAAAUGGAUACCAAGAAGGGGGGAGGCUUACCUUACCCACCUCCAUUGACUAAUGACAAUUAUUCCUCAUGGUCUGUAAAGAUGAAAGCCCUGCUUCAGAAUCAGAGGAUUUUUGGGGUGAUUGAUAACCCCAUCCCUGCUGCACCAACGCCAGGUUGGAAUUCACAGAAUGUGAGAGCCAGGACGGCCAUAAUUCUGUGUAUCUCGGAUGAUCAGCUCGUGCAUAUUCAGGAUUUAGAAUACGCGCGUGAGAUUUGGCAUACGCUGCGUAGAAUACAUCAAAGAGAUGCUGGAUCUUCAGCGUUGCUGCAUUUUGAAAAGCUAACCAAUCUAAGGCUAGCGCCUGAUGGAGAUGUACAAGCGCAUCUGACAGAGAUGAAAUUCUUACGCCAGCAGAUGGCGGAACGCAAUUUCCUCUACAGGAAGAGAUAUUCUGCUUCAUGAUUAUUAACAGCCUUAAUCGGACUUAUAAAACGGUUGCAAGUCAGCUUGGUUCUCUACCUGCCGCAGAUCUUUCGACGGAGAGAAUUUGUGCUGUGAUUCUCAAUGAGAAAGACAGACUUGCUGCAAUAGAUGUCAAAGACAGGGGGAGAGAAGCUCGGAGUUCUGACACCCCCGCUGCUAUUGCUAGUGAAGAACAGGCUGUUGCUUUGAACGUUGUCCGUUGUUUCAAUUGUGGACAGACUGGGCAUCUUCAGUGGAAUUGUAAGAAGCCAUGUCAACAGAAAGGAGCUAAGGGGAGCUCUGCAAAGCCUGAGGCAUCAGGCAAAAGUCGUACCAAGUCCCAGGUGAAACCUGCAAAGGCAUUGCUGUCAACAAAAGCCGCAUUUUCAACGGAGAACGCUUUUAUUUUGGACACUGGAGCGACGCAACACAUGACGUCUCGGCGAAAUCUGUUUUCAACGUUUAAGAAGCAAAGCUUCACUGUGAAACAAGCCAACGGUCAGGAGCUGGAAGCGACCGGAUUUGGAACUGUGUAUCUUGAGAGUCUGAACUUGACUAUAAACAAUGUGUAUUUGGUUCCUGAUUUAAAGUUCAAACUGCUAGGUGUUUCGCAGAUCACAAAGAAAGGACUGACUUUGUCCUAUGAUAGAGAAAGCUGCAAAAUCUUCAAAGAUGGAGAGCUGUAUCUUUCUGCCAGAGAGAAAGAUGGACUGUAUUUGUUGACUUUUGAGCAAAGUGAUUGCAUAAAUUGUAAUGCAUCUGAUUCUAACAUGAUUUCUCUCGCAGGUGUGUCGAAAACGUCCAGAAGACGACAAAAGUAACCAAAGCUUUUCAGCGAGUGUAUGCUGAUGUGAUUGGUCCUCUAGCACCGUCUAGAGGCAAUGCAAGAUAUUAUCUUGUGUGUGUGGAUUAUUUCUCUCAUUAUGUGUGGGUAUAUAUAUUGCAGAAACCACAAGAAGCCUUAGAAAGGUUUAAAGAGUUUUGUGACAAGGUUAAGAAUGUUCAUGAUGCUAACAUUGAUUGUUUUUUCACAGAUGAAAAGCCAGUUUUUCUUUUACAGGAUUUUCAGGAUUUCCUGGAUAAGAAAGGGAUAAGGCACAAGACUGCUGUUUCUGCAGAAGCAUGGAACAGAAGUGUCUGUGUGCAAGUGAACAAAGAAUUGCAAAAUGGCAUGAAGGCGCAAUUGCUGAGUUCACAUUUGCCACAUGAGUAUUGGGCGGAAUCGUUAAUGUGUUAUUGUUACAGUUGGGUGAGAAAAGUUUCAAAAGGUUUAGGAUGUUCUCCUUUUGAGAAGCUGUUCCACAGAAAACCUUCUGUUGCCCAUUUUAAGGUUUUUGGGUCUCAUGUGAAGACUGAAGCUCCAGGUGGAGUAAAGAAUGCUAGAGGCAUUUUUGUGGGUUAUGAAAAGGGUCUCUACAGAGUAAUUUUGUCUGAAUCUGGUCAGGUGGUUCUCACAAAAUUUCUAGAGAGUGCUCCUGAACAGGAGAGAGUAAUUGUUCACACAUUUCCCACUGAGGACGAUUCAGAUGAUGAUGAUGAUUUUACUGAUUACAGUGGUACUGAGAGUGACAGUGGUAGCUCAAAGAGCUCAGUUGACACAGUCAUUGAGAGGAAAUCUCACACAAUGGAUAGACCUUCACAGGUGAAGGAUAAACCACUGUUUACUAUUGGAACUGGUUCUCCAAAGAGUCCUGAGACUGAACCAGUGAGCAGAGAGGAUCAGCACCUCAUACGCAGGUCUGAGAGAGUUACAAAGGGUGUACCACCCAAGAGGUAUUCAAAAGAGUUUGCUAACUCAGCUGUAGCAUGUGUUACUAUUGUUGACAACUCAAGACAGGUUGAAGCUGUGUCUAAGUCAGAGACAAAGACACAACAGAGAGUUGCUAAGCAUAACACUACAUUCCCUAGCCAAGGUAAUGCAGAUGCACUCAUUCCUUGGAAGACAGACAACCAGAGAGGUACACUGGGGAAACCAGUGGCGGGUAGUUCCAAGGGUGGAACUGAAACAACAGGCGAGUGUUAUAUGUAUAACAACUGUUUGUUUUCUUCUCUGGAUCACGCUUUGCUCGCAGCGCACAUUGAUUCAUAUGGGGGAGUAUGGCCAUCUCCAGGUGGUGGGCAAAGUUGAAUCUCCAGGUGAGUGAGAACACCUUUAAAAAUAGGUGUUAUUAAGAAGACUGCGUAUGCAACUUGCAAGUUUAAGCCUGGCAUGAGCAAGCUGCAAAUUAUAACAUAGACUCGGGGGGGGGGAGUGUCUGCGAGUGUCCCCACUUCUUCUAGAUUGCAUUAUAUGCCAUACAUAUAACUUAAAUAAUUGGGGAGGGGCAAAUACGCCCCACCCCACAUAAUCGAUCACAUGACAUGGUGCACACAGACCAUUGGAAUGGUAAUGUCCAUCAACUGGGGGGGGGGGGGCUCACAUGUUUUAUUGGGGAGCUGAAGACCCCUCAGCCCCUAGGACUUGGCUCCUAUGUGAAGGGGGGUGCCGAUAAUGAGGUCUGAAGGAAAUUAAAUACAUACAGUACUCAGGCUGUUCACAAGAGCAGUUCACAACAACCUACAGUGAGGGGAAGAAGUAUUUGAUCCCCCUUCACCUGGACCCAGGAACACCCUUUCCCCCACAACCAGGAACGUAUUUGCUCCUUUGUUUGACUUCAUGUUUUUCAAUGACUGUGGUUAAUUGAAAAUACGUAAUGACAUCACUGGGGCCUGUUCCUAGGUAUCAGGUCUGGGCCGCAAACAUCAGAAUCUGGGAUGCUCCUUACCUGGCAACUCUGUGGUAGGUAGCAUAGCUGUCAACAUUUCCCUUUUUUUAAGGGAAAUUCCCUUAUUCCGAAUAGGAUUCCUCACAAGAAAAGGGAAAAGUUGACAGCUAUUGUAGGUAAAGGUAAAGGGACACCUGACCAUUAGGUCCAGUCGUGGCCGACUCUGGGGUUGCGAUGCUUAUCUCGCUCUAUGGGCCGAGGGAGCCGGCGUACAGCUUCCAGGUCAUGUGGCCAGCAGGACUAAGCCGCUUCUGAGGUUUUGAAAAUCACAUUUUCCGAGGUCCGUUGAUUGAAGUAUGGAAUAGGUACAAAAAAUUAUUAAAGUUUAAAACUCCAUUUUGGCUGUCGCCAUUGGAGGUAAUGAGUGUUAAGAAGAUCAAUAUGACGGGGAGUUGGAUUACAUAUGAGAAUUUAAUUAUAAAAGAAGGAAAUAAAUGGAAAUUGAAGCCAUACGAUGAAGUUAAAGAACAUGUGUUGAUUGGUUACACUACUUCCAAGUGAAUGCGAUGUUUAAAAAAGAGAUUUUGGAAAGAGGUUUUCAAGAUGAAAAAUCUAGAUUUCAAAAAGAAAUUGUGAAUAAUGAUGUUAAAAUUUUAUCAAAAAUGUAUAAAUUAUUACUUGAGUGGCAUACUAAGGAUGAAGAGGUUAAAGUUGCAAUGAUUCAGUGGGCCAAAGACUUUGGUUAUAAUAUUCAGUUUGAUGAUUGGAUAAGAUUGUGGAAAGAAGGAAUGAAAUUUACUGCAUGUACUAC